rnacentral:rRNA from 1 species
UGGGGAAUAUUGGACAAUGGGCGCAAGCCUGAUCCAGCCAUGCCGCGUGAGUGAUGAAGGCCUUAGGGUUGUAAAGCUCUUUUGUCCGGGAAGAUAAUGACCGUACCGGAAGAAUAAGCUCCGGCUAACUUCGUGCCAGCAGCCGCGGUAAUACGAAGGAUGCAAGCGUUAUCCGGAAUUAUUGGGUUUAAAGGGUGCGUAGGCGGACUAAUAAGUCAGUGGUGAAAGCCUGCAGCUUAACUGCAGAGUUGCCAUUGAUACUGUUAGUCUUGAGUACAGUUGAGGUAGGCGGAAUGUGUCAUGUAGCGGUGAAAUGCUUAGAUAUGACACAGAACACCGAUUGCGAAGGCAGCUUGCUAAGCUGUAACUGACGCUGAGGCACGAAAGCGUGGGGAGCAAACA